rnacentral:rRNA from 1 species
GGGGUGCAGCAGGCGCGAAAACUCUCCAAUGUGCGAAAGCGUGAGAGGGGAAUUCCUAGUGCUCAUGGUUUAUCCAUGGGCUUUUGCCAUGUGUAAAUAGCAUGGCGAAUAAGUGGUGGGCAAGACUGGUGCCAGCCGCCGCGGUAACACCAGCGCCACGAGUGGCCUUCACGAUUAUUGGGCNUAAAGCGUCCGUAGUCGGCUCUAUNCAUCUUCUGUGAAAUCGUUNCGCUUAACGUANCGGCAUGCGGNAGACACGGCAGAGCUUGAGACCGGGAGGCGUGAAGAGUACUCCGNGGGGACCGGUAAAAUGGUAUAAUCCCCGGAAGACNACCUGUGGCGAAGGCGCUUCACGAGUACGNAUCUGACGAUGAGGGACGAAAGCCAGGGGAGCAAACCGGAUUAGAUACCCGAGUAGUCCUGGC